ACGUAGGUGGCAAGCGUUGUCCGGAAUUAUUGGGCGUAAAGCGCGUGUAGGCGGCUUUGCAAGUCGGGUGUGAAAGCCCUCAGCUCAACUGAGGAAGUGCGCCCGAAACUGCAGAGCUUGAGUACCGGAGAGGGUGGCGGAAUUCCCCAAGUAGAGGUGAAAUUCGUAGAUAUGGGGAGGAACACCGGUGGCGAAGGCGGCCACCUGGACGAUCACUGACGCUGAGACGCGAAAGCGUGGGGAGCAAACAGGA
rnacentral:rRNA from 1 species